GCUCUGGUGGCUCAAUCGGAUAGAGCGUUGGACUUCUAAUCCAAAUGUUGCGGGUUCAAGUCCCGCCCAGAGUA
rnacentral:tRNA from 1 species